UGGUGUAACGGUUAGCACUCCAGACUCUGAAUCUGGCGAUCUGGGUUCAAAUCCCGG
rnacentral:tRNA from 1 species